rnacentral:rRNA from 1 species
AUUGAACGCUGGCGGCAGGCCUAACACAUGCAAGUCGAGCGGAGCGGCGAACGGGUGAGUAAUGCCUAGGAAUCUGCCUGGUAGUGGGGGAUAACGUCCGGAAACGGGCGCUAAUACCGCAUACUAUCAGAUGAGCCUAGGUCGGAUUAGCUAGUUGGUGGGGUAAAGGCCUACAAAGGCGACGAUCCGUAACUGGUCUGAGAGGAUGAUCAGGCAAACUGGAACUGAGACACGGGGCAGACUCCUACGGGAGGCAGCAGGGGGGAAUAGUUGAAAAUGGGCGAAAGCCUGAGCCAGCCAUGCCGCGUGUGUGAAGAAGGUCUUCGGAUUGUAAAGCACUUUAAGUUGGGAGGCGGUACCAACAGAAUAAGCACCGGCUAACUUCGUGCCAGCAGCCGCGGUAAUAC